rnacentral:rRNA from 1 species
UUAAGCGACUAAGCGUACACGGUGGAUGCCCUGGCAGUCAGAGGCGAUGAAGGACGUGCUAAUCUGCGAAAAGCGCCGGCGAGGUGAUAUGAACCCUUGACCCGGCGAUGUCCGAAUGGGGAAACCCAGUGCAAUCCGUUGCACUAUCGUUAACUGAAUACAUAGGUUAACGAGGCGAACCGGGGGAACUGAAACAUCUAAGUACCCCGAGGAAAAGAAAUCAACCGAGAUUCCCCCAGUAGCGGCGAGCGAACGGGGAGCAGCCCGGAGUCUGAAUCAGCUUGUGUGUUAGUGGAACGGUCUGGAAAGUCCGACGGUACAGGGUGAUAGUCCCGUACACGAAAAUGCACAUGCUGUGAACUCGAAGAGUAGGGCGGGACACGUGGUAUCCUGUCUGAAUAUGGGGGGACCAUCCUCCAAGGCUAAAUACUCCUGACUGACCGAUAGUGAACCAGUACCGUGAGGGAAAGGCGAAAAGAACCCCGGCGAGGGGAGUGAAAAAGAACCUGAAACCGUGUACGUACAAGCAGUGGGAGCCUCUUUAUGGGGUGACUGCGUACCUUUUGUAUAAUGGGUCAGCGACUUAUAUUCUGUAGCAAGGUUAACCGUAUAGGGGAGCCGAAGGGAAACCGAGUCUUAACUGGGCGUUAAGUUGCAGGGUAUAGACCCGAAACCCGGUGAUCUAGCCAUGGGCAGGUUGAAGGUUGGGUAACACUAACUGGAGGACCGAACCGACUAAUGUUGAAAAAUUAGCGGAUGACCUGUGGCUGGGGGUGAAAGGCCAAUCAAACCGGGAGAUAGCUGGUUCUCCCCGAAAGCUAUUUAGGUAGCGCCUCGUGAACUCAUCUUCGGGGGUAGAGCACUGUUUCGGCUAGGGGGCCAUCCCGGCUUACCAACCCGAUGCAAACUACGAAUACCGAAGAAUGUUAUCACGGGAGACACACGGCGGGUGCUAACGUCCGUCGUGAAGAGGGAAACAACCCAGACCGCCAGCUAAGGUCCCAAAGUCAUGGUUAAGUGGGAAACGAUGUGGGAAGGCACAGACAGCCAGGAUGUUGGCUUAGAAGCAGCCAUCAUUUAAAGAAAGCGUAAUAGCUCACUGGUCGAGUCGGCCUGCGCGGAAGAUGUAACGGGGCUAAACCAUGCACCGAAGCUGCGGCAGCGACACUAUGUGUUGUUGGGUAGGGGAGCGUUCUGUAAGCCGUUGAAGGUGUGCUGUGAGGCAUGCUGGAGGUAUCAGAAGUGCGAAUGCUGACAUAAGUAACGAUAAAGCGGGUGAAAAGCCCGCUCGCCGGAAGACCAAGGGUUCCUGUCCAACGUUAAUCGGGGCAGGGUGAGUCGACCCCUAAGGCGAGGCCGAAAGGCGUAGUCGAUGGGAAACAGGUUAAUAUUCCUGUACUUGGUGUUACUGCGAAGGGGGGACGGAGAAGGCUAUGUCAGCCGGGCGACGGUUGUCCCGGUUUAAGCAUGUAGGCGGAGGUUCCAGGUAAAUCCGGUACCUUAUUAACGCUGAGGUGUGAUGACGAGGCACUACGGUGCUGAAGUGAUAAAUGCCCUGCUUCCAGGAAAAGCCUCUAAGCAUCAGGUAACACGAAAUCGUACCCCAAACCGACACAGGUGGUCAGGUAGAGAAUACCAAGGCGCUUGAGAGAACUCGGGUGAAGGAACUAGGCAAAAUGGUGCCGUAACUUCGGGAGAAGGCACGCUGAUGUGUAGGUGAAGCCCCUGCGGGUGGAGCUGAAAUCAGUCGAAGAUACCAGCUGGCUGCAACUGUUUAUUAAAAACACAGCACUGUGCAAACACGAAAGUGGACGUAUACGGUGUGACGCCUGCCCGGUGCCGGAAGGUUAAUUGAUGGGGUUAGCGGCAACGCGAAGCUCUUGAUCGAAGCCCCGGUAAACGGCGGCCGUAACUAUAACGGUCCUAAGGUAGCGAAAUUCCUUGUCGGGUAAGUUCCGACCUGCACGAAUGGCGUAAUGAUGGCCAGGCUGUCUCCACCCGAGACUCAGUGAAAUUGAACUCGCUGUGAAGAUGCAGUGUACCCGCGGCAAGACGGAAAGACCCCGUGAACCUUUACUAUAGCUUGACACUGAACACUGGUCCUUGAUGUGUAGGAUAGGUGGGAGGCUUUGAAGCGUGGACGCCAGUCUGCGUGGAGCCAACCUUGAAAUACCACCCUUUAAUGGCUGGUGUUCUAACGUAGACCCGUAAUCCGGGUUGCGGACAGUGUCUGGUGGGUAGUUUGACUGGGGCGGUCUCCUCCCAAAGAGUAACGGAGGAGCACGAAGGUUGGCUAAUCCUGGUCGGACAUCAGGAGGUUAGUGCAAUGGCAUAAGCCAGCUUGACUGCGAGCGUGACGGCGCGAGCAGGUGCGAAAGCAGGUCAUAGUGAUCCGGUGGUUCUGAAUGGAAGGGCCAUCGCUCAACGGAUAAAAGGUACUCCGGGGAUAACAGGCUGA